rnacentral:misc_RNA from 1 species
GGUUUAAUUACCCAGUUUGAG